rnacentral:rRNA from 1 species
GACGUAGGAGGCGAGCGUUGUCCGGAUUCAUUGGGCGUAAAGAGCUCGUAGGCGGUUUGUCGCGUCUGCUGUGAAAACUCGGGGCUUAACCCCGGGCCUGCAGUGGGUACGGGCAGACUAGAGUGCGGUAGGGGAGACUGGAAUUCCUGGUGUAGCGGUGAAAUGCGCAGAUAUCAGGAGGAACACCGGUGGCGAAGGCGGGUCUCUGGGCCGAUACUGACGCUGAGGAGCGAAAGCGUGGGGAGCGAACAGG